rfam:Schistosoma haematobium scaffold691_3, whole genome shotgun sequence.
GCACUGCUGAGGAGUUCCACAAUAGGACGAAACGACCGUCCAAUGC